GACGAACGCUGGCGGCGUGCUUAACACAUGCAAGUCGAACGGAGUGGCGAACGGGUGAGUAACACGCGGGUGACCUGCCCUGCACUUCGGGAUAAGCCUGGGAAACUGGGCCUAAUAGCGGAUAGUGUGGGAUGGGCCCGGGGCCUAUCAGCUCAUUGGUGGGGUAAUGGCCUAUCAAGGCGGCGACGGGUAGCCGGCCUGCGAGGGUGGAAGGCCACAUUUGGACUGAGACACGGACCAGACGCCUACGGGAGGCAGCAGUGGGGCAGAUUGUACAACGGGGGGAAGCCUGAUGCAGCGAGGCCGCGUGGGGGAUGACGGCCUUCGGGUUGUAAACUCCUGUCGCCAUCGACGCGGUAGAUGGGGAAGAAGCACCGGCUAACUACGUGCCAGCAGCCGCGGUAAUAC
rnacentral:rRNA from 1 species